rnacentral:rRNA from 1 species
ACCAACCCUAAAGUGGGGCACAGCUCGUCGAAAGACGGGGUAAUUUCCCAUGAUAUCGCAAGAUUAAAGAUGCAAAUCGCUUUAGGAUGGGCCUGCGGCCUAUCAGAUAGUUGGCGAGGUAAAAGCUCACCAAGUCGAUGACGGGUAGGGGGCGUGAGAGCGCGACCCCCAUGAAUGGCACUGCGACACGGGCCAUACUCCUACGGGAGGCUGCAGUCGAGAAUCUUCCGCAAUGGGCGAAAGCCUGACGGAGCGACGUUACGUGAAUGAAGAAGCCCUUCGGGGUGUAAAGUUCUUUUUUGGGGGAGGAAGUUAUUGACAGUACUCCAAGAAUAAGAGGUUGCUAACUCUGUGCCAGCAGCAGCGGUAAUACAGAGACCUCGAGCGUUACCCGGAUUUAUUGGGCGUAAAGGGUCCGUAGGUGGUAAAGUAAGU